GAUGAAGAACGCAGCGAAAUGCGAUAAGUAAUGUGAAUUGCAGAAUUCAGUGAAUCAUCGAAUCUUUGAACGCACAUUGCGCCCCCUGGUAUUCCGGGGGGGCACACCUGUCCGAGCGCCAUUUCAACCCUCAAGCUUCGCUUGGUGAUGGGGACCGCCCGCGGGCGGCCCCGAAACUCGUGGGCGCCGACGGCCGGCCCUGAGCGUAGCAAAACCCUCGCUCGGGACCCCGGCCGGCGGCCGCCUCGACCUCAUACUCACAAGGUUGGCCUCGGAUCAGGUGGGGAUACCCGCUGAACUUAAGCAUAUCAAUAAGCGGAGGA
rnacentral:misc_RNA from 1 species